AUCGAACGCUGGCGGCAGGCCUAACACAUGCAAGUCGAGCGGAGCGGCGGACGGCCGAGUAAUGCCUAGGAAUCUGCCUGGCAGUGGGGGAUAACGUCCGGAAACGGGCGCUAAUACCGCAUACUAUCAGAUGAGCCUAGGUCGGUCUAGCUCGUUGGUGGGGUAAAGGCCUACCAAGGCGACGAUCCGUAACUGGUCUGAGAGGAUGAUCAGUCACACUGGAACUGUGGCACGGUCCAGACUCCUCCGGAAGGCAGCAGUGGGGAAUGUUUGGCAAUUGGCGAAAGCCUGAUCCAUCCAUGCCGCGUGUGUGAAGAAGGUCUUCGGAGUUUAAAGCACUUUAAGAUGGGAGGCGUUACCUUCAGAAUAAGCACCGGCUAACUUCGUGCCAGCAGCCGCGGUAAUUC
rnacentral:rRNA from 1 species